CUUGCCAUGAGUGAUAGUGCCACAUCAGCACCUCCAAGGAGAGGCAGCAACUAGCAGCAGAACUGCUUCCCAGGCUUCUCUGAGGAAUGCAGAAUACUCCAUCAGGGAACUGGAGGGAAAUCAAGAGGCUAGACACCAGAGCCAAAAUGCUGAGAGGAUGUUUGCUCCAAGAACCUCUCCAACCUGCUACAAACUACUUAAUCUUUUUAUGCCUCAACUUUACCAUCUGGAAGAAGAAAAACACAGAAGUUAAUGCAUGAUUAUUAAAUAUAUAGAAAGAACUUAUCCUUGAGAAGAAUAUAGCUCACUGGUAGAAUGCUUGCCCACUACACGUGAGGACCUGAAAUUGACAGGAGAAGAAGAUGAAGAGGAGGGGAGGAGGAGGAAAAUGAGGAAGAAGAGGAGGAAU